GACGUUGAUAGGUCAGGUGUGGAAGUGCAGUAAUGCAUUAAGCUAACUGAUACUAAUUGCCCGUACGGCUUGUCCCUAUAACCUUGACGGUUAUA
rnacentral:rRNA from 1 species